AGAGUUUGAUCCUGGCUCAGGACGAACGCUGGCGGCGCGCCUAACACAUGCAAGUCGAACGAGCGAGAGAGAGCUUGCUUUCUCGAGCGAGUGGCGAACGGGUGAGUAACGCGUGAGGAACCUGCCUCAAAGAGGGGGACAACAGUUGGAAACGACUGCUAAUACCGCAUAAGCCCACGACCCGGCAUCGGGUUGAGGGAAAAGGAGUGAUCCGCUUUGAGAUGGCCUCGCGUCCGAUUAGCUAGUUGGUGAGGUAACGGCCCACCAAGGCGACGAUCGGUAGCCGGACUGAGAGGUUGAACGGCCACAUUGGGACUGAGACACGGCCCAGACUCCUACGGGAGGCAGCAGUGGGGAAUAUUGCACAAUGGGGGAAACCCUGAUGCAGCGACGCCGCGUGGAGGAAGAAGGUCUUCGGAUUGUAAACUCCUGUUGUUGGGGAAGAUAAUGACGGUACCCAACAAGGAAGUGACGGCUAACUACGUGCCAGCAGCCGCGGUAAAACGUAGGUCACAAGCGUUGUCCGGAAUUACUGGGUGUAAAGGGAGCGCAGGCGGGAAGACAAGUUGAAGUGAAAUCCAUGGGCUCAACCCAUGAACUGCUUUCAAAACUGUUUUUCUUGAGUAGUGCAGAGGUAGGCGGAAUUCCCGGUGUAGCGGUGGAAUGCGUAGAUAUCGGGAGGAACACCAGUGGCGAAGGCGGCCUACUGGGCACCAACUGACGCUGAGGCUCGAAAGUGUGGGUAGCAAACAGGAUUAGAUACCCUGGUAGUCCACACCGUAAACGAUGAUUACUAGGUGUUGGAGGAUUGACCCCUUCAGUGCCGCAGUUAACACAAUAAGUAAUCCACCUGGGGAGUACGACCGCAAGGUUGAAACUCAAAGGAAUUGACGGGGGCCCGCACAAGCAGUGGAGUAUGUGGUUUAAUUCGACGCAACGCGAAGAACCUUACCAAGUCUUGACGUCCGUUGACCGCUGUAGAAAUACAGUUUUCCUUCGGGACAGCGAGACAGGUGGUGCAUGGUUGUCGUCAGCUCGUGUCGUGAGAUGUUGGGUUAAGUCCCGCAACGAGCGCAACCCUUAUGGUCAGUUACUACGCAAGAGGACUCUGGCCAGACUGCCGUUGACAAAACGGAGGAAGGUGGGGAUGACGUCAAAUCGUCAUGCCCUUUAUGACUUGGGCUACACACGUACUACAAUGGCGUUAAACAAAGAGAAGCAAGACCGCGAGGUGGAGCAAAACUCAGAAACAACGUCCCAGUUCGGACUGCAGGCUGCAACUCGCCUGCACGAAGUCGGAAUUGCUAGUAAUCGUGGAUCAGCAUGCCACGGUGAAUACGUUCCCGGGCCUUGUACACACCGCCCGUCACACCAUGAGAGCCGGGGGGACCCGAAGUCGGUAGUCU
rnacentral:rRNA from 1 species